rnacentral:rRNA from 1 species
UGAGAGGAUGAACGGCCACACUGGAACUGAGACACGGUCCAGACUCCUACGGGAAGGCAGCAGUGGGGAAUCUUCCGCAAUGGGCGCAAGCCUGACGGAGCAACGCCGCGUGAGUGAAGACGGCCUUCGGGUUGUAAAGCUCUGUUAUUCGGGAAGAAAGAGUCGCUUGUGAACAAUGAGCGAAAGUGACGGUACCGAAAGAG